UACGUAGGGGGCAAGCGUUGUCCGGAUUCAUUGGGCGUAAAGAGCGUGUAGGCGGCCAGGUAGGUCGGUUGUGAAAACUGGAGGCUCAACCUUCAGACGUCGACCGAAACCAUCUGGCUAGAGUCCGGGAGAGGAGAGUGGAAUUCCUGGUGUAGCGGUGAAAUGCGUAGAUAUCCGGAGGAACACCGGUGGCGAAGGCGGCUUCCUGGACCGACACUGACGCUGAGGCGCGAAAGCCAGGGGAGCAAACGGG
rnacentral:rRNA from 1 species